CACCUGUGGAAGAGGAAUGAAUAGAGGGGGUGUGUGAACCUUCCCGCUGCAGACUAACUGGCGCCACCGACCAAACUCAAGACAUGCUUGAUCAACAACCCAAAACAAACCACCAGAAAUCUACAACCUGUAGUACAUAAAAUGAUCUUGCCCUUUGGCAGAUUAUUAAAUGGAAACUGUUUGGCACCUCCCAGCAUUGUCCAUCAACAGUCUUCCCAGAACUGCCGACUCUAAUCUCUGGUGCACAUGGUUGGAGGAAUGGAUUCAAUCCAGGAUACCAAAUUGCAUCUGGAACUCCAACUUUUGAGGAAAAUUAGGACCAGAGUUAGAGCUAUAAAGACCUCAGACCUAACGGAUAACAACUGAGAUUUGGAAUCAGGAAGAGCAAAUAGAAAUAGCACAGAAGGAAGCCUUGGAAAAACCUUGGCUUUAAAGAUGUAGCCAUCAUUAUGUUUUACUUCAAGAAAUGUAUAUAUAAAUUUCUGAUGCUACUGCCAGGUCAUCUGGUGUUUUCUUUUAUUAUCAGGAUCUAACAAAAUUUCUUUUAAGUCAAAAUAUUGAAAAACCUGUUAACUAUGAUACACUUCUGGACUGAAGUGAAGGACAAUAUCUCUGAGAGACUUAGCAGCAGCAUCUGAAUGAAAGUGUGUGUAGAAUAUUCUGAGAUAUAGUUAUCUUCAUACAUAGGUACUACCUUAUGUAUCUCAUCUCCUUCCAGUUUAUCCCUUAACCCUUGGAUAAUGGCCACCAUAAUUAUCACAACAUUUCUUUAAUUCAUUCAUUCACCCAAAACAGGUACUGAGAACUGCUUAUGUGCUAUGCACUGUGCUGAGCUAUAUGGACACAACAGUUUUUGAAUGAACCCAAACAAAAUUAUCAGCCGUUACUGUGCAAUAGAUUGGUGCUAACAGAGGCAUUCCUAGAGUGCUGCAGAAAGGAUAGAAGACAUGCAUGAGGCAGAGGAAACUCAUGUAAAAGAUAAGGAAGCAUGAGGUAGCAUGGCCCUUUGAGUGUCCCAGUGUAGCUGUAGCGUAUCCCCUGCCUGGGAGACAAAGCAGGAACUGGAACUGGAUGUGUGGCUGGGAGCUCAGAAUGACAAAGGCUUUAGAUGCCAGCUGAGGGAGCUGAAGUAAUCAUGAAAAGGAUGGGAAACCAAUGAUCAGAUUUUGCUUUGGAAAGAUCAGUGUAGAGAACUGAUUGCUGGAGGAAAGAAUUUGAUGCAGGCAAACCAGAGGACGCUUUUGGGGUAGUAUGGCUUAUGCAAGAAACCACAAAGACCUCCUUCCUCUUCUUUACUUGACCAAGAUCUCAAUCAUCCUUUGAAGAGUGGGUUGAAAUGCUACUUCCUCUGAGAAGCCUUUUGUUUUUUCCUACUCCUGAGACAUACCUUGUCACUCACUCCCAUAGCUCUUUGUUCAUAACUCAAUUAUAAUAUUAAUCACAGUGUUGUAAGGACUGUUUUUCGUGUCUGUCUCCCUACUACAGUGAGCUUCUCUAGGUCAGGGCCUGUGUUUUAUUCAUCUUGGCAUCUUCAGCAUUUAGGACAGUGCCUGGCACAGGAUGUCACUCAAAUAUUUUAUGAGUCAGAGACAGAAUGAAUAUUUGCCAAUUGUGGAUAGAAUGCAUGAGAAAGUUGACCUUUCCCCCCCAAACUGAAAUUCACUAUUACUCAAAUUAUUUUUGCAAAAUUCCAUGCACAAUCAUUUAAUUAGCUCAACUGAGGAAACAAGGAAAUGAGACUCAAUUAAAGAAGAAAUUGUAAGUCUUUAAGCAGUUGAUAGAGAUUAGAAUUGCUUGGUCAUGAUUAGAUAAUCAAAAUUUGCAAGUUAGCAAAUAAAAAAGAGAAAUGUUUAUAGAUGCCAGCUUGUUGUAGAAUAUAUUAUAAAAAUGAUGUGGUAUGAUUUACCUCAACUAUAUUAUGUGAACAGAAAUUUCUUUAGUUCUCAGAGAUAGCAAUGGGGGUAAACAAAAUCUCUGUUGCUGCUGGGUGCUAAUUUUCUGGGAAAAGAACUCGAUUUAGCCUAUUUGGAUCCCUGUUGCCUAAUUUAUAAAUAGUCACUUGAACCAGUGGUCACAAAAGCAAAUGCCUAUAGGGAGAGGACAGGCAAAUAGCGGAAAUGAACAAAGGUGACUGCUGUGUUGAACUAGGAUGUUGGAAAUACUCCUAAACUAGAAUGGUGCUUGACCAUCUCAAAAUGACAGCCCUACUCUGUUUCAAUAGAUUCCUGGCAUGCAGGAACUUGAGAUAAGUUUGCUGUAAUUUCCAAUUUUUUAUGAGAAGCCAAAUAUCUCAUUUUUUUUUAUGGAAACUGUAUUUUUAUAUUGACAAUAAAUUUAAAAAAUAAUUGCUACUGUAUGGGUGAAUCCUCUUUCAACAAUGACAGCCUAGUUUGUUUUGGACCAACUCUCCCACUGAGAACAGCUAGAGAAGCUGGAUUAAAUAUUAAAAAAAUAAAAAACGUAAAGUCAUUGCAGAGUCAGCAAGGCAGUGAAGAAUUGUGAGUUCAAGAUCUGGGAGAGGAUGAAAGUCCACAGAGGUGAACCUGCUGUUUAAGUCCACUUUACUCCUAAAGGUGAUUGCUGAUUCUGAAAGCUGUGGCUGAGAGGAUGAAAACUGAGAGAGCUUUGGACAGACUCAUGGAGGUGGGGGACCAAAAAUUGGAGGUCAGUGUUUGUCAAAGAGUAGGGAUCUUGGUAAAUAUCUCAGCCAGGCAGUCUGGACUCAGAAGGGCUAUACCCAGGAAUAACAGUGAACUGGAAAUAGACCAAUUCUCACAGGAACUGAAACCCAACUUCAGCUGAUCUCCAUUUGCUGAUUGGAUUAAGGUUUUCAGGGGUUACUAGUGCCCCUAAAUUAGCUGCCUGCCAAAAGUAUAUGUACAGUCCUUCUGGAGGAAUAUAGCAUCAUACAGAGUCUCUUGACAAUUUUCAUAUACAAUGUUUGGUGAUCAAUAAUAACCAGGCAAACAAGGAGACAGGAUGUGACCAAAAUCCAAAAGGAAAAUAGACAAGAGAAACAGACCCACAGACAAUCCAGAUAAUGGAAUUUUCAGACACAAACUUUAAAACAGCCACCACUGGUAUUUUAAGAAAUUAAAAGACUAGAUGAAAAAUGUCUACAGAGUACUAGAAACAAUAAUAAUGAACCAAAAGAAACGUACAGAAUUAAAACACUAUCUGAGUCACAAAAAAUGAAUACAGGGUCUCAGAUUUUGAGCACUGCUCUGAACAUUCUGAGGGCAGAUGCAGCAUAAUGGUACCAGUGCAAUAAAUUAAAGAUUGCCUUGGUUUGUAGUACAGCAGAAAGCAUUUGGCAGAAGUAAGGAAAUCUUUCUUUAUGGACCACAUAGGAUAGCAAAGAUUAUAGAUAACAAAGAAAAUUGAGAGAAUUGAUGAGGUUCAAUUGGCUUCAACAAUGACUUGGCCCCUGAAUAGCUCUUACAAAUAUGAAUUAACCUAUUAAAAUCUCCAGUCCAAAACCAUACCUGAAA